UAAUACAGAGGGUGCGAGCGUUAAUCGGAAUUACUGGGCGUAAAGGGCGCGUAGGCGGUUUAAUAAGUUGGUUGUGAAAUCCCUGGGCUUAACCUAGGAACUGCAACCAAGACUGUUGAACUGGAGUGCGGUAGAGGGUAGUGGAAUUUCCGGUGUAGCGGUGAAAUGCGUAGAUAUCGGAAGGAACACCAGUGGCGAAGGCGACUACCUGGACUGACACUGACGCUGAGGCGCGAGAGCGUGGGGAGCAAACAGGAUUAGAUACCCUGGUAGUCCACGCUGUAAACGAUGAGAACUAGAUGUUGGAAGGCUUGGACCUUUUAGUAUCGAAGCUAACGCGAUAAGUUCUCCGCCUGGGGAGUACGGCCGCAAGGUUA
rnacentral:rRNA from 1 species